rnacentral:rRNA from 1 species
CAGCCGCGGUAAUACGUAGGCAGCGAGCGUUGUUCGGAAUUACUGGGCGUAAAGAGUGUGUAGGCGGUGCUCUAAGUUCGGUGUGAAAUCUCCUGGCUUAACUGGGAGGGUGCGCCGGAAACUGGAGUGCUCGAGCGUGGGAGAGGAAAGCGGAAUUCCUGGUGUAGCGGUGAAAUGCGUAGAUAUCAGGAGGAACACCUGCGGUGUAGACGGCUUUCUGGACCAUAGCUGACGCUGAGACACGAAAGCGUGGGUAGCAAACAGGAUUAGAUACCCUGGUAGUCCACGCCCUAAACGAUGCAUACUUGGUGUCGGCCAUUCAGUUGGUCGGUGCCGGAGCUAACGCGUUAA